rnacentral:rRNA from 1 species
UACGUAGGGAGCAAGCGUUGUCCGGAUUUAUUGGGCGUAAAGAGCUCGUAGGCGGCUUAGAAAGUCAGGUGUGAAACCUCCAGGCUCAACCUGGAGACGCCACUUGAUACUUCUAUGGCUUGAGUUCGGUAGGGGUAAGCGGAAUUCCUGGUGUAGCGGUGAAAUGCGCAGAUAUCAGGAGGAACACCGAUGGCGAAGGCAGCUUACUGGGCCGAUACUGACGCUGAGGAGCGAAAGCGUGGGGAGCGAACAGG